AGUGAACGCUGGCGGCGUGCCUAACACAUGCAAGUCGAGGGGCAGCACGGUGUAGCAAUACACGGGUGGCGACCGGCGCACGGGUGAGUAACGCGUAUGCAACCUGCCUACUACAAGGGGAUAACCCGUUGAAAGACGGACUAAUACCCUAUAACACAGGGAAUCCGCAUGGAUAUAUUUGUUAAAGAUUUAUCGGUAGUAGAUGGGCAUGCGUUCCAUUAGCUUGUUGGUGAGGUAACGGCUCACCAAGGCAACGAUGGAUAGGGGAACUGAGAGGUUGAUCCCCCACACUGGAACUGAGACACGGUCCAGACUCCUACGGGAGGCAGCAGUGAGGAAUAUUGGUCAAUGGACGAGAGUCUGAACCAGCCAAGUCGCGUGAAGGAAGACGGCCCUACGGGUUGUAAACUUCUUUUGUAAGGGAAUAAAUAGUCUUACGCGCUAAGACGUUGCAGGUACCUUACGAAUAAGGAUCGGCUAACUCCGUGCCAGCAGCCGCGGUAAACAUACUCG
rnacentral:rRNA from 1 species